AGUCGUAACAAGGUUUCCGUAGGUGAACCUGCGGAAGGAUCAUUACCGAGUGUAGGGUUCCUAGCGAGCCCAACCUCCCACCCGUGUUUACUGUACCUUAGUUGCUUCGGCGGGCCCGCCAUUCAUGGCCGCCGGGGGCUCUCAGCCCCGGGCCCGCGCCCGCCGGAGACACCACGAACUCUGUCUGAUCUAGUGAAGUCUGAGUUGAUUGUAUCGCAAUCAGUUAAAACUUUCAACAAUGGAUCUCUUGGUUCCGGCAUCGAUGAAGAACGCAGCGAAAUGCGAUAACUAGUGUGAAUUGCAGAAUUCCGUGAAUCAUCGAGUCUUUGAACGCACAUUGCGCCCCCUGGUAUUCCGGGGGGCAUGCCUGUCCGAGCGUCAUUGCUGCCCAUCAAGCACGGCUUGUGUGUUGGGUCGUCGUCCCCUCUCCGGGGGGGACGGGCCCCAAAGGCAGCGGCGGCACCGCGUCCGAUCCUCGAGCGUAUGGGGCUUUGUCACCCGCUCUGUAGGCCCGGCCGGCGCUUGCCGAACGCAAAUCAAUCUUUUUCCAGGUUGACCUCGGAUCAGGUAGGGAUACCCGCUGAACUUAAGCAUAUCA
rnacentral:misc_RNA from 1 species